UUGCCAAGGUUUCCUCUGCUUUGGGCGGUCGCGCGGGGGCGGGUUCUUGGAGCCCGCGCAAAGGAGACCUUCCCAGCUCGCGAGAGCACGCCCUAUCUUCGCGACCAGACAUCCCUGCACCUUCUGCCAUGAAGCAGCCCAAGGAUUUCACCAGAUGCCCAAUCUUCCAGCCAGCAGAAUCGCCUGCCUCCAUUCUUCUGAUGUGGCCUGGAGGACAAGUGCGGAGCUCUCGGUGACACUAGCUUGGAAGCUGCGUAGGGUGGUGGGAAGAGCCUGGGCUCUGUCUCAGCUUGACCUCAGGGACUGGAGAUCUCAUUCUAGGUGGGAUGUAAAGCGUGUGCUGAUACUGCAGCGUCGAAAUACAGGCACUAGAUGACUGGAAGAUUUUCACCCAAGCAACAGGGUUGACUUCAUUGAGGAUGUGCUAAGUUGGAGAAGCCUGUUGGACCACCAGGGGGAGCUGUUGAACCGGCAGCUGGGUCUGUGUGUCUGGAACUCAGAGGAGAGGUCAGAGCAGCAGGCGUCUGUGCAGAGGGGAUGUUGAAAGACCUGGGACCCCAUGAGACCCUGAAAGAGGCACGUGCACAGAGAGAAGUGCACGAGCACGAGCCCCAUGGCUGUCCAACCUCCUGACUGUAGCGCAUGCAGACAGCAGGGCCAGCAGAAGGCACCGAGGGCUGACUGGCCGGCCAGGGAGACAUAAGGAAAACUGGGAGAGCUGAGUGUCCCAGAAGCCAAAGGAAGCAAAUGACACAAGGAGAACAGAGUAAUCAACUGUGUCCAAUGCUGCAAAGAUGCCCAGUAAGACGAAGACCAGAAGCUCUGCUGAAUUUGACGACAGGAAGGGUGGACAUGGAUGACCCUGGCACACCCUGGUGUCAUGGGUGCGUGGCCUGUGCAGUAGUACAGGGCCCCACUCUCAGCAGGGUCCUGCAAUGGCUCUAAUGCUCUUCUGUGACCGUCUUGACCAUCUUACUGGCUUUUUGCAGUGGAUAUGGACCCUCUCCCACAACAUAUGUCCACCCAGAAGGUGACCUUAUUUGGAAUAAGGGUCUUUGCUGAUGUAGUUAAGGUAAUGAACUUGUGAUGAGGUCGUGUUCAAUUAGGGAAUGCCCUAAAUCCAGUGACAAGUGUCCUAAGAAGUGAACAGAAGGGGGAAAGAUGCAUAGAGUUGGUGACAGGAAGAUGGAGACAAACAUUGGAGUGAUGUGACACAGGCCAAUGUGCACCAAGGGCUGUCUGGAGCCACAAGAAGGUGGAUGAGAGGCUGGAGCAGACUCUCUCUCAGAGCCUCCAGAAGGAACCCACCCUGCUGAGGCCUUGAUUCAUGUCAUCUGACCUGUAGAGCUGUGAGAGAAUAACUUUCUGUUGGUUUAAGCUGCCCAGUUCAUCGCAAUUUGUUGCAAUAACUCUAGGAAACAAAUGCAGCUUUGAACACGGGCCCCCACAUUUUGACUUUGCACUGGGACCCGCAAAUUAUGAAUGUGGUCCUGUGUUGGCAAGUGUGGAUUCUGAGGCUUGGCAGGGUGUGAACUUUAGUGGAAUGUGUCCACUGGUCAGGGUGGGUGGUGAGGAGAGACUGGUGGGUGGUGAGGAAGUAGAGACUGCCACGAAAGAGAAAUUGAAAUCCAGGGUGACCUGGUGCAAAGGAAGACACAGAAGGGGGUAGUUGGUAGAUGGCGAUAGUGAGCUAAGAAGGCUGUGGGUUUUGUAGUGUUUGUUGUCGUUUAGCGGUUGUUUGUUUUUUUUUUUUUCUUUUUGAG